rnacentral:rRNA from 1 species
UACGUAGGUGGCAAGCGUUGUCCGGAAUUAUUGGGCGUAAAGCGCGCGCAGGCGGCUUCUUAAGUCUGAUGUGAAAUCUCGGGGCUCAACCCCGAGCGGCCAUUGGAAACUGGGAAGCUUGAGUGCAGAAGAGGAGAGUGGAAUUCCACGUGUAGCGGUGAAAUGCGUAGAUAUGUGGAGGAACACCAGUGGCGAAGGCGACUCUCUGGUCUGUAACUGACGCUGAGGAGCGAAAGCAUGGGGAGCAAACAGG